CUCUGUCUCUCUUAUGAGUUUAUUUGCCCCUUUUCUACAUCUAUUUUUAUUAUAUAAUCCUAAAAUACCUAUUUUUAUCUUUCAAUUCCUAAUGGAUAUUUUUAUUAGAAUCCCCCACCUUAAUUUGUAUACUGUCAUUAGUUUGAAGCAAACACUAAUUGAGUCUAUGUGUGCUCUGUUUCAGAUCCAUUUUUUCCACUCUCCCUCCAUAUUAGCCACCUCCAUGCAGAGAACCCUCAAUUGCUUCAAACUUCUCUUCAUCAAGGAGCACGGCGUGGUCAUUAUGGAGGCUUUUUGUUGAUUUUGGAAACUCUCUCAUGCACUUUCUCAAACUGCUGGAUUGAAGUUCUGAUUUCUUGGCUUCUCAGUGGAAGGCAGUGAUAAGCUAGGUCAUCAAAAUGAUAACGAAGUUGAUGAAGGUUGCACAGAAUUGGAAGAAAUCCCAACCAGAACACGUGCAACUUUUCCCCCAAAAGUUCAAGUGCCUAAAUUCAUUACAUGUAACUAUGCGGCAUCUGUGGACUUUGAGUGUGACCACUGAUCACAUUGAGUUGACAUCUGGAAGAAAAAAGGGAAGAACUUUGAUGCAGCUAACAUAUUUAACAAUAUAAAUUGAAAGAAUUUUUUAUAUAUAUAUAUAUAUAUUUUUGCCUAAAAACUUUUUGUUGGAGCUUAUUAGUGAUUAACGCUGAAAACAUUCAGGUGUGAUUAGUUACCAAGAUGGAUUGGUUGAGAAGGAAGAUUUGCAUGAGGUUCAAAAGAAAUUCAUUUGCUCAGUUUCCAUGACUAUUUGAGUAUGUUUGUGUCUCUAUCAAAGCUGUUUGUUGGUCCAUGUGGUGUGUGAUAAGUUUUAUUUGUCAAUGACGUUUGUUGAAAGGACUUAUGUAAAUGUAAAUUUAUUAUUCAUAUCUAUUGGUGUCGUCUUAUUUUUCA